GACGAACGCUGGCGGCGUGCCUAAUACAUGCAAGUAGAACGCUGAAGGAGGGGCUUGCUCUUCUGGAUGAGUUGCGAACGGGUGAGUAACGCGUAGGUAACCUGCCUGGUAGCGGGGGAUAACUAUUGGAAACGAUAGCUAAUACCGCAUAAGAGUAGAUGUUGCAUGACAUUUACUUAAAAGGUGCAAUUGCAUCACUACCAGAUGGACCUGCGUUGUAUUAGCUAGUUGGUGGGGUAACGGCUUACCAAGGCGACGAUACAUAGCCGACCUGAGAGGGUGAACGGCCACACUGGGACUGAGACACGGCCCAGACGCCUACGAGAGGCAGGAGUAGGGAAUCUUGGGCAAUGGACGGAAGGCUGACCAGGCAACGGCGCGUGAGUGGAGAAGGUUUUCGGAUCGUAAAGCUCUGUAGUAAGAGAAGAACGAGUGUGAGAGUGGAAAGGUCACACUGUGACGGUAUCUUACCAGAAAGGGACGGCUAACUACGUG
rnacentral:rRNA from 1 species